rnacentral:rRNA from 1 species
UACGUAGGGUGCGAGCGUUGUCCGGAAUUAUUGGGCGUAAAGAGCGUGUAGGCGGCUCGGUAAGUCUGCUGUGAAAGUCCAAGGCUCAACCUCGGAAUGCCGGUGGAUACUGUCGAGCUCGAGUCCGGAAGAGGCGAGUGGAAUUCCUGGUGUAGCGGUGAAAUGCGCAGAUAUCAGGAGGAACACCAAUGGCGAAGGCAGCUCGCUGGGACGGUACUGACGCUGAGACGCGAAAGCGUGGGGAGCAAACAGG